AGCCAUGCAUGUCUAAGUAUAAGCAACUAUACAGUGAAACUGCGAAUGGCUCAUUAAAUCAGUUAUCGUUUAUUUGAUAGUACCUUACUACUUGGAUAACCGUGGUAAUUCUAGAGCUAAUACAUGCUAAAAAUCCCGACCUCCGGAAGGGAUGUAUUUAUUAGAUAAAAAACCAAUGCCUUCGGGCUCCUUGGUGAUUCAUGAUAACUUAACGAAUCGCAUGGCCUUGCGCCGGCGAUGGUUCAUUCAAAUUUCUGCCCUAUCAACUUUCGAUGGUAGGAUAGUGGCCUACCAUGGUUUCAACGGGUAACGGGGAAAUUAGGGUUCGAUUCCGGAGAGGGAGCCUGAGUAAACGGCUACCACAUCCAAGGAAGGCAGCAGGCGCGCAAAUUACCCAAUCCCGAUUCGGGGNAGGUAGUGACAAUAAAUACUGAUACAGGGCUCUUUUGGGUCUUGUAAUUGGAAUGAGUACAAUUUAAAUCCCUUAACGAGGAACAAUUGGAGGGCAAGUCUGGUGCCAGCAGCCGCGGUAAUUCCAGCUCCAAUAGCGUAUAUUAAAGUUGUUGCAGUUAAAAAGCUCGUAGUUGAACCUUGGGUUUGGCUGCUCGGUCCGCCUAACCGCGUGCACUGAUGCGGCCGGAUCUUUCCUUCUGGCUAACCUCAUGCCCUUUACUGGGUGUGCUGGGGAUCCAGGACUUUUACUUUGAAAAAAUUAGAGUGUUCAAAGCAGGCCUUUGCUCGAAUACAUUAGCAUGGAAUAAUAGAAUAGGACGGCGGUUCUAUUUUGUUGGUUUCUAGAGCCACCGUAAUGAUUAAUAGGGAUAGUCGGGGGCAUCAGUAUUCAAUUGUCAGAGGUGAAAUUCUUGGAUUUAUUGAAGACUAACUACUGCGAAAGCAUUUGCCAAGGAUGUUUUCAUUAAUCAGUGAACGAAAGUUAGGGGAUCGAAGACGAUCAGAUACCGUCGUAGUCUUAACCAUAAACUAUGCCGACUAGGGAUCGGGCGGUGUUCAACUUAUGACCCGCUCGGCACCUUACGAGAAAUCAAAGUUUUUGGGUUCUGGGGGGAGUAUGGUCNCAAGGCUGAAACUUAAAGGAAUUGACGGAAGGGCACCACCAGAUGUGGAGCCUGCGGCUUAAUUUGACUCAACACGGGGAAACUCACCAGGUCCAGACACAUUAAGGAUUGACAGAUUGAGAGCUCUUUCUUGAUUAUGUGGGUGGUGGUGCAUGGCCGUUCUUAGUUGGUGGAGUGAUUUGUCUGCUUAAUUGCGAUAACGAACGAGACCUUAACCUGCUAAAUAGCCUGGCUAGCUUUUGCUGGUCACCGGCUUCUUAGAGGGACUAUCGGCUCAAGCCGAUGGAAGUUUGAGGCAAUAACAGGUCUGUGAUGCCCUUAGAUGUUCUGGGCCGCACGCGCGCUACACUGACAGAGCCAACGAGUAUAACCCUUAGCCGAGAGGUUUAGGUAAUCUUGUUAAACUCUGUCGUGCUGGGGAUAGGGCAUUGCAAUUAUUGCCCUUCAACGAGGAAUAUCUAGUAAGCGCAAGUCAUCAGCUUGCGUUGAUUACGUCCCUGCCCUUUGUACACACCGCCCGUCGCUACUACCGAUUGAAUGGCUCAGUGAGGCCUUCGGACUGGCUCCAGGAGGUUGGCAACAACCACCCAGAGCCGGAAA
rnacentral:rRNA from 1 species